UGUAUAUAUAUAUCUAUAUCUAUAUAUAUAUAUAUAUAUCUAUAUCUAUAUAUAUAUAUAUAUAUAUAUGUGUGUGUGUGUGUGUGUGUGUGUGUGUGUGUGUGUGUAUGUGUGUGUGUGUAUAUAUAUAUGGAAAAAGUUUAUAUAGAGCCAAGGUUCUAAACAAUCAAAUUAGAGCCCACCUAAAACAUUUCACUAGAAAACGUUGUUUUGAUGCUCAAAUAUCCUCAGAUUGAUCAUCUUGACAUCAAGAUGCAUGGACAUGAGAAAACAAUUGACUCCAAGAUUUGGAAAUAGUGCAUCUUGUAACGAAUUUUUGGACCGUCAAUUUUCAAAAUUUUCAAGUUUUCAUAGAUCCAUUUGAUCUACAAUAUUUUUGAAGCUUUAAAUUUUAUAAUUAAAGACAAAAAUAUAUUUUAAGGCUAUCACAAAGGUUUUCAGUAUUGAAAGUACAUUUCUCAAUACUAUUUGAAGGUGCACUUUACUUUGAUUGUUUAGAGCCUUGGCUCUAUAUAAACCGCACCUUAUAUAUAUAUAUAUAUAUAUACUGUCAACCGGCCCCAAAUUGAACGAAAGGAUCUCCGGCACAUUUCUGCAAUUCCGUCGUGAUUUGAAAAACCAGCUGAAUUGUUUUUUUUUCAUACCCUAUUAGUUAAAGGUUUUUGAAGGGGAAGUUGAAUUCUUAAAUUGGGGGUUGCCAUUAAUUCAAAAGGCGAUGAUUAGGAUUGCUAGAAUGGAUAAUAUCACCUGAUAUUCAAAAGGCGAUGAUUAGGGUUGCUAGAAUGGAUAAUAUCACCUGACAUGAGAAAAAAUUAUGAGGGUUUGGAUUUCUUUUUUUGACAAUCGAAAAUUUUUCUAAACAAUGAGAAAAUAUCGAAAAUGCUUGAAUCAAUUGAAAAUGAGAAAUAAUUAGGAGGGUUUGCAUUUCUUCAUUUUGACAAUCGAAAAUGAGGGUUUUUAAACAAUAAGAAAAAAUUGAAAAUGCUUGAAUCAAUUGAAAUGAGAAAAAACGAACAUGAGGGUUUGUUAAACAAUAAAAAAUCAGAAAAACAAUUACUAGGGGCAAUCAACAAAGCAUGAAUUUCCUCAUUUUGACAUGAGGAUUUUUUUGUUUGUUUGAAUGUAGUGUAAAAUCAGUGGUUUUAGUGUUAUAUUUUCAUUUAUAUAUGUAAUUUAUUAUUUAAUUUAAUUAUUUUGUGAUAUGUCAUGCUCAAUGUAUAAAUGCUCCUAGAAAUUUACCGAAAGUAUCAUGAAAUCAUGAGUUAGGGUUUAAUUGGCAUGAAAAUGUCAAAUUUUCUUUCAUUUUAUUUGUAAUUUAUCUUCUUUAACUGUGCUACAGUGGGUUUUGUGGUUUUUGAAGAAUUUUGGGGCCGGGACUUUAAAUUUAUUUAGAUUGCAUGAAUUAUAUUGGAUUUCCUGAGAAUAGUGCUUUACUUUUAUUAUGAGAACAUAAGAGAAAGUUGAAUGGAUGGUUUAUAAUUAGAGAAUAGUGCUUUGAUUUGAUUAUGAAAAGGCGAAGCAAAGUUGAAUGGAUGGUUUAGGAUUUGAGAAUAGUGCUUCGAUUUGUUUAUGCGAACAUGAAAAAAAGUUGAAUAGAAAAGUUGAGAAUAAUGCCUUGAUUUGAGACUGACUUUGGAAUAUAACAUCACCUAUUUUUUACUUAUUGAUGGAUGGUUUAUGUAAUGUUUAUCUCAGGAUAUUUCACUUGAAUUUCAUCACUCUUUUUGAACCCCUGUUAUAAAUAUUGUAAUGAAAGUGAGAGCUUGAACUAAUGAAAAAAACAAAAAAGCGAUAAUGUUAUGAUUUUAUAAAUUUAUUUGUUAUUUCCUAAUUCAUAUUCCCUUGACAUACCUUGUAUAUCUAGAGUGUGAUACAUAAUGCAACACGAGGGUUCUUAUCAUCUAAUCUAUAGGUUGGUUAGCGAUGGAGGGAGAGUGGACCCCAUCGAUUUUAACAUAAACUCGAUCAUGCAUGUCACUCUCCCUCCUUCAUUGUCCAACCUACUGAAUGGAUAGUGAUAACUUGGGAAGGUUUCUAUACUUCCCCUACUACAUAGAAGAUAUAUGCUUCCUCUACCAUCCAACUAUCCAAUUUUGAUCAAAAGAGCCACUCACCGUUAGAUCUUAGAUCCGACGUCUCAAAGUAUUUUUUGUAUGAAUAUGAAAUUUGGUAUGCACUAUCUUCUCAUUGGGGUGCACCUAUAAAAUAUAUUAAAAAAUAAAUUUUCGAUAAAAUAUAAUGACCAAAAAACCUCUUGAAACUUUCAUUAUCACUUUAACUUUAACAUUAUCACUUCUUUGUUUUUUCAUUAGUUCAAGCUCUCACUUUCACUACAAUAUUUAUAACAGGGAUUCAAAAAGAGUCAUGAAAUUCAAGUGAAAUAUCCUGAGAUAAACAUUACAUAAACCAUCCAUCAACAAGGAAAAAAUAGGUCAUGUUAUAUUUCAAUGGCAAAUAAAACCAAAGUCACAAUAUCAAAUCAAGGCAUUAUUCUCAACUUUUCCAUUCAACUUUUCUUCAUGUUCUCAUAAACAAAUCAAAGCACUAUCCUCAAAUCCUAAACCAUCCAUUUAACUUUGCAUCACCUUUUCAUAAUCAAAUCAAAGCACUAUUCUCUAAUCAUAAAACAUCCAUUCAACUUUUUCUCAUGUUCUCAUAGUAAAAUCAACGCACUAUUCUCAGCAAAUCAAAUAUGAUUCACGCAUUCUAGAUAAAUUUAAAGUCCCAGUCCCCCCAAAUUCUUCAAAAUGCAUAAAAUCCAUUGUAGCGUAGUUAAAGAAGAUAAAUUACAAAUAAAACCAAAGAAUUUUUGACAUUUUCAUUCUAAUUAAACCCUAACUCACGAUUUCAUGAUAUUUUCGAUAAAUUUCUAGGGGCAAUUACAUAUGGGUGCGGUUUGUAUAGAGCCGAGGCUCUAAACAAUCAAAUUAGAGCCCACCAUCAAAUAGUAUCGAGAAAUAUGGUUUCAAUACUGAAGUUUUUGUAUUAGCCUUAAAAUAUACUUCCAUCUUAAAUUAUAAAAUUUAAAGCUUCAAAAAUAGUGUAGAUCAAGCAUAUCUAUGAAAAUAUGAAAAUCUUGAAAAUUGACGGUCAAAAUGUGCGUUAUAAGAUGCACUAUUUCCAAAACUUGAAAUCCAUUUUCUGCUCAUGUCCAUCCAUCUUGAUGUCGAGAUAAUCAAUUUGAUGACAUUUGAGCAUCAAAACAACCUAUUCUAGUGAAAUUUUUGAGGUAGGCUCUAAUUUCAUUGUUUAGAGCUUAGGCUCUAUAUAAACUUUUCCCUUUACACAUUGAGCAUGACAUAUUACAAAAUAAUUAAAUUAAAAAAUAAAUUACAUGUAUAAAAGAAAAUAUAACACCAAAACCAUUGAUUUUACACUACAUUCAAACAAACAAACCAAAACCCUCAUAUGUCAAAAUGAAGAAAUUCAUGGCUCUAUUGAUUGCCCCUAGUAAUUUUUUUUUUUUUUAUUGUUUAAAGAACCCUCAUAUUCGAUUUUUUCUCAUUUAGAUUGAUUCAAGCAUUUUCGAUUUUUUCUCAUUGUUUAAAAACCCUCAUUUUCGAUUGUCAAAAUGAAGAAAUCCAAACCCUCAUAAUUUUUUCUCAUUUUCAAUUGAUUCAAGCAUUUUCGAUAUUUUCUCAUUGUCUAGAAACCCACAUUUUCGAUUGUCAAAAAGAAGAAAGCCAAACCCUCAUAAUUUUUUCUUAUAUGUCAGGUGAUAUUAUUCAUUCUAGCAAACCUAAUUAUCUCCUUUGAAUGAAUGGCAACCUGCAAUUUAACAAUCCAACUUUCCCUUAAAAAACUUUAACUAAAAUAGGGUAUGAAAAAACAAAAAAAAUCACUUGGUUUAUCAAAUAAUGAUGGAAUUGAAGAAAUGUGCUGGAGAUCCUCCCAUUCAAGUCGAAGGUAUAGAGAGAGAGAGAGAGAGAGAGAGAGAGAGAGAGGUAGAGAGAGAAGAGAGGAGGUAGGAGAGAGAGAGAAGAACGUAAGUAACGGUUAGGGUUACGGGUUACGGUACGUAAGAGAGAGACGUACGUACGUACGUACGUACGUACCGUACGUACGUACGUANNNNNNNNNNNNNNNNNNNNNNNNNNNNNNNNNNNNNNNNNNNNNNNNNNNNNNNNNNNNNNNNNNNNNNNNNNNNNNNNNNNNNNNNNNNNNNNNNNNNNNNNNNNNNNNNNNACGUUAAAGUUAAACGUAAAGUAAACGUAAGUAACGUAAGUAAGUAAGUAAGUAGUAGUAGUAGUAGUAGUAGUAGUACGUAGUACGUACGUACGUACGUACGAGUACGACGUAGAGAGAGAGAGAGAGAGAGAGAGAGAGAGAGAGAGAGAGAGAGAGAGAGGGGUUGAGAGAGAGAAUACGAACAAAAAUUGGGGGUUUUCGGGGUUUAAGGGACUCAGAGAGCAGUCCGAGGUUAGAAUCCUCGGAUCGCAAUUUUGCAAAAAAAUUUGAAGCAGUCCAAGGUCAGAUUGCAAUUUUGCAAAAAAAAAUUAAAGAGGUAUGAGGUUUAAGUUUUAACUUAACUCGCAAUUCGAGGUUUCAGAUCUCAGACCGUAGUGUUUUCAUUAGUUGGAGCGGUUCGAUAUCACCAUCCUCAGACCAACACAGCCCGAGCAUUCUAACUUCGAAUUUGAAAUCAUGGCAUCACAGCCAUCUAAUUUGAAAUAGACAAACAUGGGACAUGCCCCCCCUCGUAUUCUCUCUCUUAAAACAAAACUUGCUUCUCACUUCAAGUAAUAUGAGAAGUCUCACCUCCAAAUUUUCUAAAAUUACUUAAGUGCCCUUCAAACCCAAAUU
rnacentral:lncRNA from 1 species